UGGGGAAUAUUGCACAAUGGGCGCAAGCCUGAUGCAGCCAUGCCGCGUGUAUGAAGAAGGCCUUCGGGUUGUAAAGUACUUUCAGUCGGGAGGAAGGUGGUAAGGUUAAUAACCUUAUCAAUUGACGUUACCGACAGAAGAAGCACCGGCUAACUCCGUGCCAGCAGCCGCGGUAAUACGGCGGGUGCAAGCGUUAAUCGGAAUUACUUGGCGUAAAGCGCACGCAGGCGGUUGAUUGAGUCAGAUGUGAAAUCCCCGGGCUUAACCCGGGAAUUGCAUCUGAUACUGGUCAGCUAGAGUCUUGUAGAGGGGGGUAGAAUUCCAUGUGUAGCGGUGAAAUGCGUAGAGAUGUGGAGGAAUACCGGUGGCGAAGGCGGCCCCCUGGACAAAGACUGACGCUCAGGUGCGAAAGCGUGGGGAGCAAACAGG
rnacentral:rRNA from 1 species